rnacentral:rRNA from 1 species
UACGUAGGGGGCAAGCGUUGUCCCGAAUUAUUGGGCGUAAAGAGCGUGUAGGCGGCCAGAUAAGUCCGCUGUGAAAUCUCGAGGCUCAACUUCGAGCUGUCGGUGGAAACUAUCUGGCUAGAGUCCGGAAGAGGAGAAUGGAAUUCCUGGUGUAGCGGUGAAAUGCGCAGAUAUCAGGAAGAACACCCGUGGCGAAGGCGGUUCUCUGGGACGGUACUGACGCUGAGACGCGAAAGCGUGGGGAGCGAACAGG